GGUGGUGGCCCGGUGGUAACGACACCGAAUUUUCACCUCGGGAAUGUGUGUUCGAAUCCCACCACCACCG
rnacentral:tRNA from 1 species